rnacentral:rRNA from 1 species
AGGGUUUGAUCCUAGCUCAGGACUAACGCUGGCGGUAUGCCUUAUACAUGCAAGUCGAACGGUAAGGCCUCUUCGGAGGUACACGAGUGGCGGACGGGUGAGUAACGCGUAGGAAUAUGCCCUUAGAUGGGGGACAACUCGCGAAGAAAUUCGAGCUAAUACCCCAUAUGUCGAAAGAUGAAAGAUUUAUCGUCUAAGGAGUAGCCUGCGUUUGAUUAGCUUGUUGGUGGGGUAAAAGCCUACCAAGGCGACGAUCAAUAGCUGGUUUGAGAGGAUGACCAGCCACAAUGGGACUGAGAUACGGCCCAUACUCCUACGGGAGGCAGCAGUAGGGAAUUUUGCGCAAUGGACGAAAGUCUGACGCAGCAAUACCGCGUGUAGGAAGACGCUCUGUGGAGUGUAAACUACUGUCGGGUGGGAAGAAUUUUGACGGUACCACCAAAGGAAGCACCGGCUAACUCUGUGCCAGCAGCCGCGGUAAUACAGAGGGUGCAAGCGUUGUCCGGAUUUAUUGGGCGUAAAGCGUCUGUAGGUUGUUUAUCAAGUCUGAAGUGAAAGAAUGGAGCUCAACUCCAUCCCCGCUUUGGAAACUGAUAAACUAGAGAAUGUUAGAGGUAAGUGGAAUUUCCAGUGUAGCGGUGAAAUGCGUAGAUAUUGGAAGGAACACCAGAGGCGAAGGCGGCUUACUGGGACAUUUCUGACACUGAGAGACGAAAGCUUGGGUAGCGAAAGGGAUUAGAUACCCCUGUAGUCCAAGCCGUAAACGAUGAGUACUAGUUGUUAUGGGAAUCGACCCCCGUGGUGACGUAGCUAACGCGAUAAGUACUCCGCCUGGGAAGUAUGUACGCAAGUAUGAAACUCAAAGGAAUUGACGGGGACCCGCACAAGCGGUGGAACAUGUGGUUUAAUUCGAUUCAACGCGAAAAACCUUACCUGGCCUUGACAUCUGUGGAAUUUAGUAGAGAUACUUUGGUGCCUUCGGGAACCACAAGACAGGUGCUGCACGGCUGUCGUCAGCUCGUGUCGUGAGAUGUUGGGUUAAGUCCCGCAACGAGCGCAACCCACGUCGUUAGUUGCCAGCAUUCAGUUGGGCACUCUAGCGAGACCGCCGGUGAUAAACCGGAGGAAGGUGUGGAUGACGUCAAGUCAUCAUGCCCCUUACAUCCUGGGCUAUACACGUACUACAAUGCUACGGACAAAGGGCAGCAAACUCGCGCGAGAGCUAGCAUCCCAUAAACCGUGGCUCAGUUCAGAUCGUAGGCUGCAACUCGCCUACGUGAAGGAGGAAUCGCUAGUAAUCGCAGGUCAGCAUACUGCGGUGAAUACGUUCCCGGGCCUUGUACACACCGCCCGUCACACCAUGGAAGUUGGCCACGCCCGAAGCCGUUACCUUAACCCUUAUGGGAGAGAGCCGCCUAAGGUAGUACUGUUGACUGGGGUGAAGUCGUAACAAGGUAGCC